CUCGUUCUCCCUCUUCUUCCUCGCCAUGGCGAACCCUAAUUCUCUCCUUUCGCUGAUCCUCCUCUCCCUCCUUGCAAUCUCCUCUGCGAAAGUCUUCUUCGAGGAACGUUUCGAUGGUAUCUCUUAUUCUUCCUCCCGCCCUCUACAUUUAGGAGUAUAUGAUUGCGUAUGUGUACGUAAUAAAAACACUGUCAUGCAUUCACUGUUCUCAGUUUGGUAAUGUAGAUUCGCGGUGUAUACACUGGAACUCAUUGUAGCUGAAUUUUGAUUUGAUAUGUGAAGGAUCGGGUUUUUUUGGUGGGCUUAAUGUUGUGGAUCAGUGGAUCUGGUAGCUUGUAUAGCUGCUUCGUGUUAUUGCGUAAUUAAGGCUAGAAAUGCGAUUAUUUUCGCUAGAUCUGAUUUCAAUCUGAUCAUGCAUUUUCGUACUACAUGUUUUCUUGAUGAAUUGUUUGGUUAGUGUUUGAAAAUGAUGAUGUUGUCCGGUUUAAGGUUUGCAAGUGAUGAUCGAUUAAAUAUGGGAUUCAUUUAUUUAUUUGUUUGCUGAGAAAUUCUGGUUUUCCAUUCACAAUUACCGGAUUGAAUAAGUAUUUGUUUAUAUCUGUAUGUAUAAAUGUUGGAUAAUUGAUAACAACGCCUUUAUCGUGUUUGAUUGAUGAUUGUAUAUUAUCUGGUUUCAAAAUGUGGAAAAUUACACAUGCUCAUUUCCUUUUUCUUUUUUUUUUAAUUUGUUGUGGAUGCAUACACUUCUAGACGGUUGGGAAACGAGGUGGGUCAAAUCUGAGUGGAAGAAAGAUGAGAAUACAGCUGGUGAAUGGAACUACACUUCUGGCAAGUGGAAUGGAGAUCCAAAUGAUAAAGGCAUCCAGACUAGUGAAGAUUACAGGUUCUACGCAAUUUCAGCUGAGUUCCCUGAGUUCAGUAACAAAGAUAAGACACUAGUAUUCCAAUUUUCUGUUAAGCAUGAACAAAAGCUCGACUGUGGUGGUGGCUACAUGAAGUUGCUUAGUGGCGAGGUUGACCAGAAGAAAUUUGGUGGUGAUACCCCUUAUAGUAUCAUGUUUGGACCAGAUAUCUGUGGCUACAGCACCAAGAAAGUUCAUGCUAUCCUUAAUUACAAUGAAUCGAACCACUUGAUCAAGAAGGAAGUUCCUUGUGAAACUGACCAACUCACUCAUGUCUACACACUCAUAAUCCGUCCAGAUGCCACAUAUAGCAUCCUUGUUGACAAUGUUGAGAAGCAAACUGGUAGUUUGUACUCUGACUGGGACCUUCUUCCACCAAAGAAAAUCAAGGAUCCAGAGGCCAAGAAACCUGAAGAUUGGGAUGACAAUGAGUAUAUUCCGGACCCUGAGGAUAAGAAACCAGAGGGUUAUGAUGACAUUCCAAAGGAGAUUCCAGAUCCUGAUGCAAAGAAGCCUGAGGAUUGGGAUGAUGAGGAGGAUGGUGAAUGGACUCCCCCAACCAUUGCCAACCCUGAAUAUAAGGGUCCAUGGAAGCCCAAGAAAAUUAAGAACCCCAAUUACAAGGGCAAGUGGAAGGCACCAAAGAUUGACAACCCUGAUUUCAAGGAUGAUCCAGAUCUCUAUGUAUACCCUAACUUGAAGUAUGUUGGUAUUGAAUUGUGGCAGGUGAAAUCUGGAACCUUGUUUGACAAUGUCUUGAUUUGUGAUGAUCCUGAGUAUGCAAAGAAGCUGGCUGAAGAAACAUGGGGAAAGAACAAGGAUGCUGAGAGGGCUGCGUUUGAGGAGGCAGAGAAGAAGAAAGAAGAAGAGGAAUCCAAGGAUGAUCCAGCUGAUUCUGAUGUUGAUGAAGAUGAGGAUGAUGAUUCUGAUGACACUGAAGGAGAGGAUGAUGGUGAAGGAAAAUCAGAUGGAGCAGAAGACAGUGCUGAAAGCAAAGAUGAAGUACAUGAUGAGCUGUAGAGAUGAAGUACUCAUCAGUCUAGAAAUGAGCCAGGGCAUGAAGCAGUGCUUCUUAAAUUUUCUGUUUUCUCUGGAUUCUUAUUUGUAGAAUUUAUAUUAGGGAAGAAAAUAGAGUUGAAAUUUGCAUGCAAACUGCGUGGCUGAUUCCAUUUAAAAGUGGCUGAGCCUUUAGAACAAAGAGGAUGUCUUUUUAUCAUAACAAUUAUGAAAUAGUUCGAAUGUUCCAAUAUUGUUUGUGGCUACCUACAGAUUUUAAAUUUUGUUUCUUGAACGUAAAAAAAAAUUGUGGAAAAUAAAAAUUUUGCUGAUUGGUGAAAUAUGAUAAGCUGGAGGAAUUUUUGCUUGUUUUCUAUCUUCGUUGCAGGAUAUGGCCGUCGAUUAUGGUUCUGCAUCAAAGUUAGAAUAUUAUCUGUUCUUUUGCAUAUAGGUUAUAGCUUGUUGAUUCAAAUUUUCAGUAUAGGUAGUCAUACGUGAAAAUUAGUUGUGGAGAUGUGGUGAUUAAGUGAUGUAAGUAGGAUAAUAAGAGAGGAGAAAGGGACAUACAGCAUUAGAUCAGGUUUCCUGGCACUGAACGUUGUUUUCUUCUCGAAAGGUAAGUUAGCGAUUCAGGGGAAAAUUCAUAGAAAUAAAAAGUUCAUAUUGAUGUAAACCUUGGCACACUCUUGACUAUUCUUCUUCACCCCAAAAAGAUGGAGUUCGGAUGAAAACUUGCAAGCUCGACUUGAACCAAGCAUUGUCUGCUUGUAGAAAGCACAUUUCGCAAUGCGUUAAAAUGUGUUAAUCAUCUAUUUAAGGCCUUUCUGAAACCAACUUGAAUAUACUGUAACAUGAAAUCUAAAGCAAGUGCAUCUCCAUAUAAUGUGACUUGUUGGAAUAUACUGUUAAGUGUUUGAUCAUUUUCGUUGUAAAUUAAAUAAGAACACAAGACCAUCAAAUCCAAUGUAUAAACUUGUGAUAAUUGAGGAAUAGUUUU
rnacentral:misc_RNA from 1 species